rnacentral:rRNA from 1 species
GUGGGGAAUCUUCCACAAUGGACGAAAGUCUGAUGGAGCAACGCCGCGUGAGUGAAGAAGGGUUUCGGCUCGUAAAGCUCUGUUGUCGGGGACGAAUGUGCAGUAUUUGAAUAAAGUACUGUAAUGACGGUACCUGACGAGGAAGCCACGGCUAACUACGUGCCAGCAGCCGCGGUAAUACGUAGGUGGCAAGCGUUGUCCGGAAUUAUUGGGCGUAAAGGGAGCGCAGGCGGGAAGGUAAGUCGGUAUUAAAAGUGCGGGGCUCAACCCCGUGAUGGGAUCGAAACUAUCUUUCUUGAGUGCAGGAGAGGAAAGUGGAAUUCCUAGUGUAGCGGUGAAAUGCGUAGAUAUUAGGAAGAACACCAGUGGCGAAGGCGACUUUCUGGACGAAAACUGACGCUGAGGCGCGAAAGCCAGGGGAGCGAACGGGAUUAGAUACCCUUGUAGUCC